UACAGAGGUCCCAAGCGUUGUUCGGAUUCACUGGGCGUAAAGGGUGCGUAGGCGGUCGGGUAAGUCUGACGUGAAAUCCCAGGGCUCAACCCUGGAACUGCCUUUGAUACUGUCGAUCUGGAGUAUGGAAGAGGUGAGUGGAAUUCCGAGUGUAGAGGUGAAAUUCGUAGAUAUUCGGAGGAACACCAGUGGCGAAGGCGGCUCACUGGUCCAUUACUGACGCUGAGGUGCGAAAGCGUGGGGAGCAAAACAGG
rnacentral:rRNA from 1 species